rnacentral:lncRNA from 1 species
UUUGGGAAGCAAAGGAAGGAAACCUUUUUGAGAAUUCUCCACACGGAAAAGCAAUCACGAUAUUUUAAGGAAGGAGCCAACAACCACACGGGAAGAAAAACCCAAACACACACAGCCAUACGGGGGGAUUGAGAUCAAAGUGGCAGUCACACAGGCCAAAAGAUCACACAGUCGGCUGCAUCUUGGAGAAGACAACCAUCACGCCGCCACGGGUCAGUGGUGCAUACCAGAAUUUGAGGAAGGAGGAGCAGCCACCUUUUCUCCAUUGAUCAUCAGCCCGCACCACCAGUAAGAGCAGGAUAACACCUUGGUUUGCGUAUUGAAGGUUCGGUUUAUGAUUAUUUUUUUAUUGAGAAUUGAUAAUUUCAUGUGUAUUUUAGUUUAUGACUUAUCUUUUAUUCUAUGAUUCCAAGUUUCGAUAUUCAUUUACUUGUGUGACGAUAUGAUAGAAUUGAAUUCUUGAUUGAUUAAUUUUGAUUCCAAGUUUUGAUUUUCAUUGAGAACUUUGACUAAAUAUAUUAAUUAUUAUAUUCGAUUCGAAGUUUCUUUUUCCUUCUUAGUUGAUUGAGUUUAAAUUUAAGAAUUUGUUUAAUUGUAUGGAUUAUCAUUGUCUUGAUUCCAAGUUUUGAUUUUUCUAGGUUGUUAUGUUUUUAGAAUUAUAGUUUAUUAUUCCUAUUGAACCACUUGAUUAAAUCCAUGUUUUAAUUUUUUAACUUUAGUUUUGAUUGAUCUUAUCUAGCUUAUGUGUUUUUAGAAUUUUAGUUUAUUAUUCCUAUUGAACCCAUGUGAUUAAUUCCAUGUUUAAAAUUGUUAACUUUAGUCUUUGAUUGACCCUAUUUAGUUUAUGUGUUUUAGAUUUUUAGUUGAUGAGUCUAUUACUUUCUCAUGUCAUUAUAUCCACGUUUUGAGCUUGUUCGUUUUAAUUCUCGAUUGAUCCAAUUUUAUUUUGUGUGUUUUUUAGAGUUUUAGAUAUUUAAUUUAAAAGUUACUUUUCUCAUGUUGUAAGUUUGUUAAUUUUAAUUCUUGAUUGACCUAAUUUUAGUACAUGUAUUUUUUAGAGUUUUAGUUAAUUAGUUUAAUCGAUGCUCAUGUUUUAAAAAAGUUUGUUAAUUUUGAUUUUUGACUGAUCUUGUCCUAGUUUAUAGUUUUUCAAAAUUUUAGUUAAUUAGUUUUAUCCCAUGUUAUUAUACUCAUGUAUUAAAAAUAGUUAAAUUUAGCUUUUCUACUUAGUUGAUGUGUCCUUUUUUUAAAUUUUGGUUAUCAUUUUGCUUAAUCCCUUGUUACUUAGUUUUGUUUUUGUUUUGGAAGUUAUUAAUGUCUAGUUGUUGAUUAGUUAAUAUGUUUUAGAAUUCUAUGUGCUUAUGUUACUAUAUUCACAUUAUUAUAAUUACAUGUUUAUGUGUUUGGUUGAUUUUAAAUUAGUUCUUGAUUGUUUAUCUCAAUUUAUGUGUUUGAUUGAUCCUUAUAAAUUCCCGAUUAAUAUUUCGUUAGUUUUAUUUGAUCUAAA